rnacentral:rRNA from 1 species
GACGAACGCUGGCGGCGUGCCUAAUACAUGCGAGUCGAGCGGAGAAGGUUGGUUCUUGUACCGAGUGGAUGAGGAGAGAACGGGAGAGUAACGCGAGGGGAAUCUGCCUUAGAGCGGGGGACAACAUGGGGACACGAGUGCUAAUACCGCAUAAGAUCUUUAAACACAGGUUUGAAGGGUGAAAGAUGCAGUUGCAUCACUCACAGAUGAUCCCGCGUUGUGUUAGCUAGUUGGUGAGGUAAAGGCUCUCCAAGGCGAUGAUACAUAGCCGACCUGAGAGGGUGGUCGGCCACAUUGGGACGGUGACACGGCCCAAUCGCCCUCGGGUAGCAGCAGGAGGGCAUCGUCGGCCAUGGGCGGAAGUCUGAGCGCGCAACGCCGCGUGAGGGAAGAAGGAUGCCGGGUCGGAAAACUCGGUUUUUAGGGUAUAACGCUGUUGAGAGUGUAAAGCUCAUCAAGUGACGGUAACGACUCAGAAAGCGACGGCUAACUACGUG